rnacentral:rRNA from 1 species
UAGGGAAUAUUGGUCAAUGGACGCAAGUCUGAACCAGCCACGCCGCGUGAAGGAUGAAGGCCCCAUGGGUUGUAAACUUCUUUUGUUUGGGAAAAAACCCUCAUACGUGUAUGAGGCUGAUUGUACCAAGAGAAUAAGGAUCGGCUAACUCCGUGCCAGCAGCCGCGGUAAUACGGAGGAUCCAAGCGUUGUCCGGAUUUAUUGGGUUUAAAGGGUGCGUAGGCGGAUGAUUAAGUCAGUGGUGAAAGCCGGCAGCUCAACUGUCGAACUGCCAUUGAAACUGAUCGUCUUGAAUGUAGUAGAGGUAGGCGGAAUGUAUCAUGUAGCGGUGAAAUGCUUAGAUAUGAUACAGAACACCAAUUGCGAAAGCAGCUUACUAUGCUAUUAUUGACGCUGAGGCACGAAAGCGUGGGGAUCAAACAGGAUUAGAUACCCCCGUAGUCC